CAGCACGGAGAGCUUGCUCUCUGGUGGCGAGUGGCGAACGGGUGAGUAAUAUAUCGGAACGUGUCCAAUAAUGGGGGAUAACGAGUCGAAAGAUUCGCUAAUACCGCAUACGCCCUACGGGGGAAAGCAGGGGAUCGUAAGACCUUGCGUUAAUGGAGCGGCCGAUAUCUGAUUAGCUUGUUGGUGAGGUAAAGGCUCACCAAGGCGACGAUCAGUAGCUGGUUUGAGAGAACGACCAGCCACACUGGAACUGAGACACGGUCCAGACUCCUACGGGAGGCAGCAGUGGGGAAUUUUGGACAAUGGGGGCAACCCUGAUCCAGCCAUUCCGCGUGAGUGAAGAAGGCCUUCGGGUUGUAAAGCUCUUUCGCAAGGGAAGAAAACUUAUGAUCGAAUAAAUCAUGAGGUUGACGGUACCUUGAUAAGAAGCACCGGCUAACUACGUGCCAGCAGCCGCGGUAAUACGUAGGGUGCGAGCGUUAAUCGGAAUUACUGGGCGUAAAGCGUGCGCAGGCGGUUUUGUAAGUCGGAUGUGAAAUCCCCGGGCUCAACCUGGGAACUGCGUUC
rnacentral:rRNA from 1 species